rnacentral:misc_RNA from 1 species
AAGAGACGUUGCCCUUCGGGGUAUACCUCCCACCCUUUGUUUAUUAUACCUCUGUUGCUUUGGCGGGCCCGUCCUCGGACCACCGGCUUCUGCUGGUCAGUGCCCGCCAGAGGACCUAAAACUCUGUUUGUUAAUAUUGUCUGAGUACUAUAUAAUAGUUA